AAACUUUUAACAACGGAUCUCUUGGUUCUGGCAUCGAUGAAGAACGCAGCGAAAUGCGAUAAGUAAUGUGAAUUGCAGAAUUCAGUGAAUCAUCGAAUCUUUGAACGCACAUUGCGCCCGCUAGUAUUCUGGCGGGCAUGCCUGUUCGAGCGUCAUU
rnacentral:rRNA from 1 species